GGGAAUAUGGAUUAGUGGUAGAGUGCUUGCCUAUUAUGCAUGAAGUCCUGAGUUCGAUUUUCUCAGUACCA
rnacentral:tRNA from 1 species